AGUGAACGCUGGCGGUAGGCCUAACGCAUGCAAGUCGAACGGCAGCACAGUAAGAGCUUGCUCUUACGGGUGGCGAGUGGCGGACGGGUGAGGAAUACAUCGGAAUCUACUUUUUCGUGGGGGAUAACGUAGGGAAACUUACGCUAAUACCGCAUACGACCUACGGGUGAAAGCAGGGGAUCUUCGGACCUUGCGCGACUGAAUGAGCCGAUGUCGGAUUAGCUAGUUGGCGGGGUAAAGGCCCACCAAGGCGACGAUCCGUAGCUGGUCUGAGAGGAUGAUCAGCCACACUGGAACUGAGACACGGUCCAGACUCCUACGGGAGGCAGCAGUGGGGAGUAUUGGACAAUGGGCGCAAGCCUGAUCCAGCCAUACCGCGUGGGUGAAGAAGGCCUUCGGGUUGUAAAGCCCUUUUGUUGGGAAAGAAAAGCAGCAGGUUAAUACCCCGCUGUUCUGACGGUACCCAAAGAAUAAGCACCGGCUAACUUCGUG
rnacentral:rRNA from 1 species